rnacentral:rRNA from 1 species
CGACCGGCGCACGGUGAGUAACGCGUAUCCAACCUGCCCACCACUUGGGAUAACCUUGCGAAAGUAAGACUAAUACCCAAUGAUAUCUCUAGAAGACAUCUGAAAGAGAUUAAAGAUUUAUCGGUGAUGGAUGGGGAUGCGUCUGAUUAGCUUGUUGGCGGGGUAACGGCCCACCAGGGCAACGAUCAGUAGGGGUUCUGAGAGGAAGGUCCCCCACAUUGGAACUGAGACACGGUCCAA